UGGGGAAUUUUGGACAAUGGGCGCAAGCCUGAUCCAGCCAUGCCGCGUGCAGGAAGAAGGCCUUCGGGUUGUAAACUGCUUUUGUCAGGGAAGAAAUCCUUUGGGCUAAUACCCCGGAGGGAUGACGGUACCUGAAGAAUAAGCACCGGCUAACUACGUGCCAGCAGCCGCGGUAAUACGUAGGGUGUGAGCGUUAAUCGGAAUUACUGGGCGUAAAGCGUGCGCAGGCGGCUUUGCAAGACAGAUGUGAAAUCCCCGGGCUCAACCUGGGAACUGCAUUUGUGGCUGCAAGGCUAGAGUGCGGCAGAGGGAGAUGGAAUUCCGCGUGUAGCAGUGAAAUGCGUAGAUAUGCGGAGGAACACCGAUGGCGAAGGCAAUCUCCUGGGCCUGCACUGACGCUCAUGCACGAAAGCGUGGGGAGCAAACAGGAUUAGAUACCCUGGUAGUCCACGCCCUAAANGAUGUCAACUGGUUGUUGGACGGCUUGCUGUUCAGUAACGAAGCUAACGCGUGAAGUUGACCGCCUGGGGAGUANGGCCNCCAAGGUU
rnacentral:rRNA from 1 species